GGCGGUGUUUUAGACCUCUCAGGGGAACCUGUCUCGUAAUCGACAAUCCACGCUAAACCCGACCCUCUAUAGCAAUUCAGCCUGUAUACCGUUGUCGUCAGGUAACUUCUUAAAAUAUAGUAGUUAGCUCGAAAAUUAUAUUAAUUAGUACGUCAGAUCAAGGUGCAGCUAAUAAGAGGGAGAGGAUGGGUUACAAUUAUACA
rnacentral:rRNA from 1 species